AGGGAUGUAGCUCAGUAGCAGGGUAUCUGCUGUGCAUGCAGAAGGUCCCAAGUUUGAUCCCUGGCAUCUCUA